AAUAGGUCAAGGAAGGGUAAUUAGAUAGACAGGUGAUAGACAGGUCAAGGAAGGGUAAUCAGAUAGACAGGUGAUAGACAGGUCAAGGAAGGGUAAUCAGAUAGACAGGUGAUAGACAGGUCAAGGAAGGGUAAUCAGAUAGACAGGUGAUAGACAGGUCAAGGAAGGGUAAUCAGAUACACAGGUGAUAGACAGGUCAAGGAAGGGUAAUCAGAUACACAGGUGAUAGACAGGUGAUAGACAGGUCAAGGAAGGGUAAUUAGAUAGACAGGUGAUAGACAGGUCAAGGAAGGGUAAUUAGAUAGACAGGUGAUAGACAGGUCAAGGAAGGGUAAUCAGAUAGACAGGUGAUAGACAGGUCAAGGAAGGGUAAUCAGAUAGACAGGUGAUAGACAGGUCAAGGAAGGGUAAUUAGAUAGACAGGCGAUAGACAGGUGAUAAACAGGUCAAGGAAGGGUAAUUAGAUAGACAGGUGAUAGACAGGUCAAGGAAGGGUAAUUAGAUAGACAGGUGAUAGACAGGUCAAGGAAGGGUAAUUAGAUAGACAGGUGAUAGACAGGUGAUAGACAGGUCAAGGAAGGGUAAUUAGAUAGACAGGUGAUAGACAGGUCAAGGAAGGGUAAUUAGAUAGACAGGUGAUAGACAGGUCAAGGAAGGGUAAUCAGAUAGACAGAUGAUAGACAGGUCAAGGAAGGGUAAUCAGAUAGACAGGUGAUGGACAGGUCAAGGAAGGGUAAUCAGAUAGACAGGUGAUAGACAGGUCAAGGAAGGGUAAUUAGAUACACAGGUGAUAGACAGGUCAAGGAAGGGUAAUUAGAUAGACAGGUGAUAGACAGGUCGAGGAAGGGUAAUCAGAUAGACAGAUUAGAGGAGUGAGAUGAAGUGGGAGACAGGUGAGGAGAGAGACUCAGACUGAGGACAGAGGUGAUAGGUUGCCAUCUUUCUCUGUGUUUUUUAUGUAGGCCUAUCUUUUCAUGUAUCUUUACCUUAGUCAGCUUAAAGAUCAAAUCUAUUGCAUGUUGGCAUUAUUCAAAUCAUAUUCAAAAUCACGACUCGCCUGUAGGAAUAAAAGUUUGGGCAUAGGCUACUCACAUUAUCGAUGGCAAUGAUGCCCCCUUGUCUCACAAGCUCAAGAGACUUCUCGUAAUAUCUGUCAUAGUUCCGUUUAUCCGCAUCGAUGAACACAAAGUCAUAGGUGCCAGCUUCCCCAGCAGCUAUCAACUCAUCUAGGACAAACAAAAGAUCACGUUGAAAAGGAUUCACCCGUUUCACAACGGAAUCGUGUUUGGGUUCUUUAAAAUCAGUCACCUACCCAGUGUUUUUAUACACAUUUGAAGACGGACAUUAAUUUUAUCCUCGACUCCGGCCUAGAAAAGAGAAAGGAUGACAAGGGUAGUUAGUCUAGGCAUCUGUACUGUUAAGUCCAUUUAAAUGUUUCAA